GGGAUGCGUCUGAUUAGCUUGUCGGCGGGGUAACGGCCCACCGAGGCGACGAUCAGUAGGGGUUCUGAGAGGAAGGUCCCCCACAUUGGUACUGAGACACGGACCAAACUCCUACGGGAGGCAGCAGUGAGGAAUAUUGGUCGAUGGGCGUAGGCCUGAACCAGCCAAGUAGCGUGCAGGAAGACGGCCCUAUGGGUUGUAAACUGCUUUUAUGCGGGGAUAAAGUCGGCUACGCGUAGCCGUUUGUAGGUACCGCAUGAAUAAGGACCGGCUAAUUCCGUGCCAGCAGCCGCGGUAAUACGGAAGGUCCGGGCGUUAUCCGGAUUUAUUGGGUUUAAAGGGAGCGCAGGCCGAUGGUUAAGCGUGACGUGAAAUGUAGCCGCUCAACGGCUGAACUGCGUCGCGAACUGGCUUUCUUGAGUGAGUUCGAUGUGGGCGGAAUUCGUGGUGUAGCGGUGAAAUGCUUAGAUAUCACGAAGAACUCCGAUUGCGAAGGCAGCCCACAAGGCCUUUACUGACGCUAAAGCUCGAAGGUGCGGGUAUCGAACAGGAUUAGAUACCCUGGUAGUCCGCACGGUAAACGAUGGAUGCCCGCUGUUUGCGAUAUACUGUGAGCGGCCAAGAGAAAUCGUUAAGCAUCCCACCUGGGGAGUACGCCGGCAACGGUGAAACUCAAAGGAAUUGACGGGGGCCCGCACAAGCGGAGGAACAUGUGGUUUAAUUCGAUGAUACGCGAGGAACCUUACCCGGGCUUGAACUGCAGGAGAAGGAUACAGAGAUGUUGACGCCCUUCGGGGCUCCUGUGGAGGUGCUGCAUGGUUGUCGUCAGCUCGUGCCGUGAGGUGUCGGCUUAAGUGCCAUAACGAGCGCAACCCUUUUCUUCAGUUGCCAUCAGGUGAUGCUGGGCACUCUGGAGACACUGCCACCGUAAGGUGUGAGGAAGGUGGGGAUGACGUCAAAUCAGCACGGCCCUUACGUCCGGGGCUACACACGUGUUACAAUGGGUGGUACAGAGAGUCGGUCGUCUGCAAAUGCGAUCCAAUCCUUAAAGCCAUCCUCAGUUCGGAUUGGGGUCUGCAACCCGACCCCAUGAAGCUGGAUUCGCUAGUAAUCGCGCAUCAGCCAUGGCGCGGUGAAUACGUUCCCGGGCCUUGCACACACCGCCCGUCAAG
rnacentral:rRNA from 1 species